rnacentral:rRNA from 1 species
AUGGGCACCGACCUGUAUGGCUACAUCGACAAAACCAUGGCAGAACCUCCCAAGAUCAUCACUACCAAGGACAAGGACGGCAAGGAUCAGGUGAUCACCAACCCUGACUAUGCCCCCUGGUUAAUUCAAGAUCAACAGAUCGUCGCAUAUCUCCUUCGCAAUCUCUCCAAGGAGGUGCUGGUUCAGGUUGCAUCGAUGGAAACAUCACAUGCGAUUUGGACGGCCCUGAGCAACAUGUUCUCCGCUGUAUCGCUCUCCCGCAUCAACAACAUACGGGCCUCCCUCACCAAC